rnacentral:lncRNA from 1 species
UAUCAUUCUCUAGGGCCUCUAAUGAAAACCGUAGCCUAAGCAACUUGUUAGGAGCAGUAAGAUCAAGUUUAAUAGCAUUUGAAUAAGUUUUGAUCAGGCCUUGCUUAAUCCAUCUUCCUACAGUACUUUUGCUACAUUGGAUCCCACAUGCAAGCCUUCGAAUUGUAGAUCUUUUAGACAAGUCUAAGCUAGCAAUUAACUGUAAAUCUAAUUGCACUCUUUUUUGUCUUGGUCUUUGUAUUUUUCGACUCAUGGAACAUAUUACCUCACCAUUCUCUUUUUGCUUUUUUGCAGCUGCCCAAAUCCGAUUGAUUGUACUUCUCGAGCUGCUCCAUUUUGUAACAGCGGCUGAAAUCUUCCCCCUAGCAGGCUUCCCCUCCUUGUUGUCUUCAAGGAGGAA